rnacentral:rRNA from 1 species
UGGGGAAUAUUGCACAAUGGACGGAAGUUUGAUGCAGCGACGCCGCGUGGAGGGUGUAGGCCUUCGGGUUGUGAACUCCUUUUUCUCGCGAAAAAGGCACAGUUUUGGCUGUGUUGAUGGUAGUGGGGGAAGAAGCGCCGGCUAACUACGUGCCAGCAGCCGCGGUAAUACGUAGGGCGCGAGCGUUGUCCGGAUUUAUUGGGCGUAAAGAGCUCGUAGGUGGUUCGUCGCGUCUGUCGUGAAAGCCAGCAGCUUAACUGUUGGUCUGCGGUGGGUACGGGCGGGCUUGAGUGCGGUAGGGGUGACUGGAAUUCCUGGUGUAGCGGUGGAAUGCGCAGAUAUCAGGAGGAACACCGAUGGCGAAGGCAGGUCACUGGGCCGUUACUGACACUGAGGUGCGAAAGCGUGGGGAGCGAACAGG